ensembl:lncRNA novel transcript, sense intronic to CEACAM21
GGGAGAGCAGAACUUGGACUGAGUCCUGCAGGACACAGAUGUAGUUUCACUCUUCUUGCCCAGGCUGGAGUGUAAUGGUGCGAUCUUGGCUCGCUGCAAUCUCUGUCUCCCAGGUUUAAGUGAUUCUCCUGCCUCAGCCUCCUGAGUAGUUGAGAUUACAGGUACACACCACAAUGCCCAGUGAACUUUGUAUUUUUAGUAGAGUCGAGGUUUCACCAUGUUGGCCUCGCUGGUCUCGAACUCCCGACCUCAGGUGAUCCACCUCCUGGGCCUCCCAAAGUGCUGGGAUUACAGGCAUGGGCUACCACGUUCAGCCAUGAUUGUUUCCAGGGUGAUUUGCUACACAUGUUGGGAAAAAUCAAACCAGGAACAGUAUGAAAAUGGCCUCCUUGAAGACGGUGUUCCCUGAGUACCUAGAACCCAAAACCGAUCAGUAACCCUGUACAGGGACUGUGUUCACAGGAUAUAAGGCAAAAAAAAUCCAUCUUCUCAUAAGAGCUUUAGAGACUCUUAGGCUUCUUUACUAGGACAGCUGAGCUCUAAAGCAUGUGAACUUCACCCACCACAACUGUUUGCUCCAUCUCAAGCUCAGAACCCUGCCCUGUCUGCCUAACCACAAGUAUCCAACCCAGUAUCUACAAAUAAAUGCUUCACUCAUCUA